GCCCGGCUAGCUCAAUCGGUAGAGCGUGAGACUCUUAGUCCUGUGAAAGGAAAUUUUCACGGAAACAAGAUAUCUCAAGGUUGUGGGUUCGACCCCCACGUCGGGCU